rnacentral:rRNA from 1 species
GAAGGUCCCGAGCGUUGUUCGGAAUCACUGGGCGUAAAGGGAGCGUAGGCGGCAUGGUAAGUCAGAUGUGAAAUCCCGGGGCUCAACCCCGGAACUGCAUCCGAUACUGCCUUGCUUGAGGGUUGGAGAGGUGACUGGAAUUAUCGGUGUAGCAGUGAAAUGCGUGGAUAUCGAUAGGAACACUCGAGGCGAAGGCGAGUCACUGGACAACAUCUGACGCUGAGGCUCGAAGGCUAGGGGAGCAAAAGGGAUUAGAUACCCCUGUAGUCCUAGCAGUAAACGGUGUGCGCUUGGUGUGAGGGGAUUCGACCCCCCUUGUGCCGGAGCUAACGCGUUAAGCGCACCGCCUGGGAAGUACGGCCGCAAGGCUA